GAUGAACGCUGGCGGCGUGCCUAAUACAUGCAAGUCGAGCGAACGGACGAGAAGCUUGCUUCUCUGAUGUUAGCGGCGGACGGGUGAGUAACACGUGGGUAACCUACCCAUAAGACUGGGAUAACUUCGGGAAACCGGAGCUAAUACCGGAUAAUAUUUUGAACCGCAUGGUUCAAAAGUGAAAGACGGUCUUGCUGUCACUUAUAGAUGGAUCCGCGCUGCAUUAGCUAGUUGGUAAGGUAACGGCUUACCAAGGCAACGAUGCAUAGCCGACCUGAGAGGGUGAUCGGCCACACUGGAACUGAGACACGGUCCAGACUCCUACGGGAGGCAGCAGUAGGGAAUCUUCCGCAAUGGGCGAAAGCCUGACGGAGCAACGCCGCGUGAGUGAUGAAGGUCUUCGGAUCGUAAAACUCUGUUAUUAGGGAAGAACAUAUGUGUAAGUAACUGUGCACAUCUUGACGGUACCUAAUCAGAAAGCCACGGCUAACUACGUGCCGGCAGCCGCGGUAAUACGUAGGUGGCAAGCGUUAUCCGGAAUUAUUGGGCGUAAAGCGCGCGUAGGCGGUUUUUUAAGUCUGAUGUGAAAGCCCACGGCUCAACCGUGGAGGGUCAUUGGAAACUGGAAAACUUGAGUGCAGAAGAGGAAAGUGGAAUUCCAUGUGUAGCGGUGAAAUGCGCAGAGAUAUGGAGGAACACCAGUGGCGAAGGCGACUUUCUGGUCUGUAACUGACGCUGAUGUGCGAAAGCGUGGGGAUCAAACAGGAUUAGAUACCCUGGUAGUCCACGCCGUAAACGAUGAGUGCUAAGUGUUAGGGGGUUUCCGCCCCUUAGUGCUGCAGCUAACGCAUUAAGCACUCCGCCUGGGGAGUACGACCGCAAGGUUGAAACUCAAAGGAAUUGACGGGGACCCGCACAAGCGGUGGAGCAUGUGGUUUAAUUCGAAGCAACGCGAAGAACCUUACCAAAUCUUGACAUCCUUUGACAACUCUAGAGAUAGAGCCUUCCCCUUCGGGGGACAAAGUGACAGGUGGUGCAUGGUUGUCGUCAGCUCGUGUCGUGAGAUGUUGGGUUAAGUCCCGCAACGAGCGCAACCCUUAAGCUUAGUUGCCAUCAUUAAGUUGGGCACUCUAAGUUGACUGCCGGUGACAAACCGGAGGAAGGUGGGGAUGACGUCAAAUCAUCAUGCCCCUUAUGAUUUGGGCUACACACGUGCUACAAUGGACAAUACAAAGGGCAGCGAAACCGCGAGGUCAAGCAAAUCCCAUAAAGUUGUUCUCAGUUCGGAUUGUAGUCUGCAACUCGACUACAUGAAGCUGGAAUCGCUAGUAAUCGUAGAUCAGCAUGCUACGGUGAAUACGUUCCCGGGUCU
rnacentral:rRNA from 1 species